CAACGCAAAGAAAAAACUUUUUGGUCAAUUUAGAGAAAAGGAGAAAAGGAGAAAAGCUCUUUUUUCCUCUUCUUUUCAUUAUCUUUUUUGUUUUGUUGUUUG
rnacentral:ribozyme from 14 species